rnacentral:rRNA from 1 species
CCCUUAGAUGUUCUGGGCCGCACGCGCGCUACACUGAUUCGUUCAUCGAGCACACAACCUUGGCCGAGAGGUCUAGGUAAUCUUCUCAAAGCGAAUCGUGAUGGGGAUAGAUUAUUGCAAUUUUUAAUCUUCAACGAGGAAUUCCUAGUAAUCGCACGUCAUCAACGUGCAAUGAUUACGUCCCUGCCCUUUGUACACACCGCCCGUCGCUACUACCGAUUGAAUGGUUUAGUGAGUCUCACGGACUGUGGCGCUCGACGCUUGCGAAGAGCGCUGUCGGGAAGUAAGUCAAACUUGAUCAUUUAGAGGAAGUAAAANUCGUAACA